rnacentral:rRNA from 1 species
UACAGAGAGUGCGAACGUUGUUCGGAAUCACUGGGCAUAAAGCGCACGUAGGCGGCGCCAUAAGUGCGGGGUGAAAUCCCACGGCUUACCCGUGGAACUGCCUGGUAUACUGUGGUGCUUGAGGAUGGUAGGGGAGAGCGGAACUCCUGGUGGAGCGGUGAAAUGCGUAGAGAUCAGGAGGAACACCGGUGGCGAAGGCGGCUCUCUGGUCCAUUUCUGACGCUGAGGUGCGAAAGCUAGGGGAGCAAACGGG